GAUGAACGCUGGCGGCGUGCCUAAUACAUGCAAGUCGAGCGAACAGACGAGGAGCUUGCUCCUCUGACGUUAGCGGCGGACGGGUGAGUAACACGUGGAUAACCUACCUAUAAGACUGGGAUAACUUCGGGAAACCGGAGCUAAUACCGGAUAAUAUAUUGAACCGCAUGGUUCAAUAGUGAAAGACGGUUUUGCUGUCACUUAUAGAUGGAUCCGCGCCGCAUUAGCUAGUUGGUAAGGUAACGGCUUACCAAGGCGACGAUGCGUAGCCGACCUGAGAGGGUGAUCGCCCACACUGGAGCUUAGACGCUGUCCAGACUCCUGCGGGAGGCAGCAGUAGGGAAUCUUCCGCAAUGGGCGAAAACCUGACGGAGCAACGCCGCGUGAGUGAUGAAGGUCUUCGGAUCGUAAAACUCUGUUAUUAGGGAAGAACAAAUGUGUGAGUAACUAUACACGUCUUGACGGUACCUGCUCAGAAAGCCACGGCUAACUACGUG
rnacentral:rRNA from 1 species